rnacentral:rRNA from 1 species
GAUGAACGCUGGCGGCGUGCCUAAUACAUGCAAGUCGAGCGAACGGACGAGAAGCUUGCUUCUCUGAUGUUAGCGGCGGACGGGUGAGUAACACGUGGAUAACCUACCUAUAAGACUGGGAUAACUUCGGGAAACCGGAGCUAAUACCGGAUAAUAUUUUGAACCGCAUGGUUCAAAAGUGAAAGACGGUCUUGCUGUCACUUAUAGAUGGAUCCGCGCUGCAUUAGCUAGUUGGUAAGGUAACGGCUUACCAAGGCAACGAUGCAUAGCCGACCUGAGCGGGUGUACGGCCACACAGGAACUGAGACACGGUCCAGACCCCGACAGGAGGCAGCAGUAGGGAAUCUUCCGCAAUGGGCGAAAGCCUGACGGAGCAACGCCGCGUUAGUGAUGAAGGUCUUCGGAUCGUAAAACUCUGUUAUUAGGGAAGAACAUAUGUGUAAGUAACUGUGCACAGCUUGACGGUACCUAAUCAGAAAGCCACGGCUAACUACGUG